ensembl:snoRNA U3 Small nucleolar RNA U3
AAGACUGUAGUUUAGGGAUCAUUUCUAUAGUUCAUUCUAGAGAAGUUUAUCUGAAUACGUAGAGCUCCGGAACCCACGAGGAAGAGGCGCAGUGUUCUCUCCUGAGCGUGAAGCUGACUUUUGGUGUUGCUUCAGUGCAACCGCUACCUGUCGUUGAUGAUCUGUUCUCCCUUCCUCUUUGGAGAGUAAGAGGGAGCGGAUGCUGUCUGAGUAGA